CCCUACCUUAUACCAUUCACUUCACAUGCAUCCAUUCACAGCUUCAUAAAUUUUAGACAACAAGGAUUUGAUACACUCAUACCCAAAAAUCAUCAAAUUUUCAGUUCAAGCAUCAACAACAAACCACACAAGCUUUUGACAUGCAUAAAUUCCAAAUUCAAACAGAACCCUAACAUAUUUCUACAUCAAUUCACGAAAUAGAGAAUCAAACCCAGCUCCCCU
rnacentral:lncRNA from 1 species